UUUCCGUAGGUGAACCUGCGGAAGGAUCAUUAUCGAAUUUCGAGGGGAAGGAAGAUGAGGAGUGGAGACUGUCGCUGGCUUUCCCGCCUGGGAAGCAUGUGCACGCUUGUUGUCCAUUAUUUCUCCCACUGUGCACAAAUUGUAGACCUUUCAGUAGGCCUAUGUUGUUUUUCACAAUCUCUGAAUGUAAUAGAAUGGUUUUGAAUCUUGGGAAAUACAAUACAACUUUCAGCAACGGAUCUCUUGGCUCUC
rnacentral:misc_RNA from 1 species